rnacentral:rRNA from 1 species
GACGAACGCUGGCGGCGUGCUUAACACAUGCAAGUCGAACGGAAAGGCCCUGCGUUUGUGGGGUGCUCGAGUGGCGAACGGGUGAGUAAAACGUGAGUAACCUGCACUUGACUUUGGGAUAACUUCAGGAAAAUGGGGCUAAUACCGGAUAGGAGCUCCUGCUGCAUGGGGGGGGUUGGAAAGUUUCGGCGGUUGGGGAUGGACUCGCGGCUUAUCAGCUUGUUGGUGGGGUAGUGGCUUACCAAGGCUUUGACGGGUAGCCGGCCUGAGAGGGUGACCGGCCACAUUGCUACUGCGAUACGGCCCAGACUCCUACGGGAGGCAGCAGUGGGGAAUAUUGCACAAUGGGCGGAAGCCUGAUGCAGCAACGCCGCGUGCGGGAUGACGGCCUUCGGGUUAUAAACCGCUUUCGCCUGUGACGAAGCGUGAGUGACGGUAAUGGGUAAAGAAGCACCGGCUAACUACGUG